GAUGAACGCUGGCGGCGUGCCUAACACAUGCAAGUCGAACGGAGAUUACGGACGGAAGUUUUCGGAUGGAAGACUGUAAUUCUUAGUGGCGGACGGGUGAGUAACGCGUGGGCAACCUGCCCUAUACAGGGGGAUAGCAGCUGGAAACGGCUGGUAAGACCGCAUAAGUCGGCGAGACCGCAUGGUUUUGCCGGGAAAUGAGCAAUCAGGUAUAGGAUGGGCCCGCGUCCGAUUAGCCAGUUGGCAGGGUAAAAGCCUACCAAAGCAACGAUCGGUAGCCGGACUGAGAGGUCGGACGGCCACAUUGGGACUGAGACACGGCCCAAACUCCUACGGGAGGCAGCAGUGGGGGAUAUUGCACAAUGGAGGAAACUCUGAUGCAGCGACGCCGCGUGAGUGAAGAAGUAUUUCGGUAUGUAAAGCUCUAUCAGCAGGGAAGAUGAUGACGGUACCUGACUAAGAAGCCCCGGCGAACUACGU
rnacentral:rRNA from 1 species